CACUGUUGUAUUCCAUUAUUUUUGGAAAACAUAUUCUAAGAAAUUUUGCAAUUUGAAAUUUCAAUUUUCUAAAAUCAGAUUUACACUUUAAAUUGAUCCGACGCUGGCCUGAAAUCCAAAGACCCUUCACCCGAAGAAACUUCUCAAUUCGUCUUCAAGGAAGUAGUUACAACAGAGACAUGGCUCUUAUUCGACGCACGGGAAAUCAACUGGUGCUCCUUGAGCUGGACAAAUCCAUGCAAGAUGAUUAUGUAUUUUAGAAUGCAGUAUUUCGCCACCUACCCAAUCUGGACAGGACUGGAAGAACUUCAGCAAACCAAGCAGAACGAGACGCGAUAGGUCAAGUGGAGCAGGAUAUAAGAUAAGACUAAAAAAGUCUUUAAUUGUUAAAUAAAUGGUGAUAUGUACAUCAUAAGUGCAGAAUACUUAAAUAGGCUAAAUGUACGGAACGCAAACAACAGUAUUUAAAUUUAUGCAUGCAAAUUUUAUUCUUCCCUGUUCUUAGUCCUGUCCAAUUGGAUUUAUUCUGUACUUCAUUUUAGGAGUUCAGGUUAAUACGGGAAUUCUAUCCUCUAGUUAAUUAUUAUCUGUAUACCCGAUAUACAAAAGAAAUUGGUUAUUUGCAUAUUUGUAAUUUUGGAAUGAUUCCGUGCACUUAGA